GCACAAGCGGUGGAGUAUGUGGUUAAUUCGAUGCAACGCGAAAACCUUACCUACCCUUGACAUGUCCGGAAUCCCGAAGAGAUUUGGGAGUGCUCGCAAGAGAACCGGAACACAGGUGCUGCAUGGCUGUCGUCAGCUCGUGUCGUGAGAUGUUGGGUUAAGUCCCGCAACGAGCGCAACCCUUGUCAUUAGUUGCCAUCAUUUGGUUGGGCACUCUAAUGAGACUGCCGGUGACAAACCGGAGGAAGGUGGGGAUGACGUCAAGUCCUCAUGGCCCUUAUAGGUGGGGCUACACACGUCAUACAAUGGCUGGUACAAAGGGUUGCCAACCCGCGAGGGGGAGCCAAUCCCAUAAAGCCAGUCGUAGUCCGGAUCGCAGUCUGCAACUCGACUGCGUGAAGUCGGAAUCGCUAGUAAUCGUGGAUCAGCAUGUCACGGUGAAUACGUUCCCGGGUCUU
rnacentral:rRNA from 1 species